GGGCAUGUAGCUCAGUGGUAGAGCAUCGCCCUUAUAAGACGAGGGUCGCAGGUCCGAUUCCUGCCAUGCCCA
rnacentral:tRNA from 1 species